UACGUAGGGUGCGAGCGUUAAUCGGAAUUACUGGGCGUAAAGUGUGCGCAGGUGGGCCGCGCAAGUCGAGUGUGAAAUCCCCGAGCUUAACUUGGGAAUUGCGCUCGAAACUACGUGGCUAGAGUGUGGCAGAGGGAGGUGGAAUUCCACGUGUAGCGGUGAAAUGCGUAGAGAUGUGGAGGAACACCAAUGGCGAAGGCAGCCUCCUGGGCCAACACUGACACUCAUGCACGAAAGCCGUGGGGAGCAAACAGG
rnacentral:rRNA from 1 species